UUUUUAUUUACUUAUCAUUAUCACUUUGUUCAUGCUCUGUUCUCACUUCACAGCUUCAAACUAGGAACAUUUUAAAACUUGCAGGUGUCCUUAAAAAUUACACACUAUUGAGAAAGCUUAUGGCUUUUAAGCAUUUACACUAGUGGUUCCAGUGAAACCUGCUGUAAUUGAUCGAUCAGUUGCACAUUCACAGCUUGUUUAAGCUGAAAUUCUAUUUCCAUGAUACAUUUUUCUGCAAAGGACUUUCUGCAAAAUCCCUUCUGGAGCUGGUUUCCUUUAUUCCCGUGGGACGUGCUGCAGUGCCAGAGGAAGGAGCACCGCGCCUGUCCCUGCACGGUCCCCACCUCUUCCCUUUCGCUCCCUGAUGCUGCCUUCCAAGCCUUUCUUGGCCUGGCUGUCAUUACAGCACCCCAAAAAGAGCGUGUGUUUAAUAACACUUCCAACAACUUCUGGAAAGGAGCCUCCGAGUUAUUGGACCUGUGAGAAGGCAAUAAUCGACAACGAACAAGUUGGUGGGCUGUACACAUCUGUGUACUCUGCCUUGGAAAAUAAAGGCUGUUGCCAUGGCAACUGCCACAAGCUGGGCCCGUACAUUAGUUAUGGUGAGACUGGGGCGUUGAGUGCAGGCCCCGGCCCCGCCUGUGUGCUGGGCCUGCGCUGUGCCCAGGGGCCAGGCCUGACCGCUGGCGCUGUGCGGCCGCAGCGGCCUUGUCUCACCUGGGGAGCAAAUAAAAAAAAGUGUGAGAGUACCCCCGUAAACGAGCAGCCCAGCUGUAAAACAAACUGUGCAGAAAUUGCAACCGAGCUGAUGAUGAUCUUGGGAUCUUCUUACCAGAAGGUGUGCUUAUGGAAAGCAAAAUUGGAUCCUUGAGAAAGAAGUCAGCUUUCUGGCUUUGGAACUAGUAGCAAAACAAAUGAAUAGACCCACUUGAAAAACUCUCCAUUGUCCCCAUUGCUUUGUGUCAGAAGACAACUGAAUGCAAUCAAAGCUUUUUGUCUUCAGCUGUCAGUAAGUCAGCUUCUCUAAGAGGGCUUUAUACAAUAAUCAGAGAAAGAAUUCAGAGGUUUUGCUUUUCUGUG
rnacentral:lncRNA from 1 species